GGUCCGGUGGCGAAAUGGUAUCGUGUGGUCCUCCUAAGACUGAGGUUGUGGGUUCGAGUCCCAUCCGGAUCG
rnacentral:tRNA from 8 species